GGAGGGAUGGCCGAGUGGCUUAAGGCGGCGGUCUUGAAAACCGCUGGCCCGAGAGGGCCCGUGGGUUCGAAUCCUACUCCCUCCGCCA
rnacentral:tRNA from 1 species